UUUCUGAGACAUGUUUUCAUGGUGUGGGAAUAAGGCUUGGUGGUCUUAUACAGCUAAUACAAAGGUUAGCAUCACAGCUUGUCUGUAAGGAUUGAAGCUGGGAGUGGGCAUUGGAGCUGACUUUUAUGAUAACUGUGGCUGCAUAAAAUGGUUGUGUGAUAUAACUGCAACAGUAAAGAAUGUAAUUCAGACUAUUUUUGUGUAUGCUUGAGAAAAUGUUUAUAAUUUUUUUACAAAAAAAAAAAAAAAAAAAAAUAUGUAAAGAUUCUCCAUUUUCAACAAGAUUGGAAGUUGUAGGUUAACUUGUAUUUGACAUUAUAAAAGUUCUUUCUAUUUUCCCUUUAUACUCAUGUCUAGUCAAAACACUUCCAGCAGUUUAAGAAUGGAUAAUCUAAAAGAAAAAGAAAGAAAAAAAGAGAAAAAAAUGUUCAAUUAUUGAAAUGUAUUUUUUUUUGGCAAAUUGUAAUGUAUAUAUUUUUGCCAUCUUUUUGUUAUUUUAGGAUUUGAGAUACUUUCAAAUUUUACAAGUUACUUUAUACAUGAAGUUAAUGCAAUUAAAUCUGCGGAUGUGAAUAUUCCCACUAAAUUUCUUAGCAAAAAUUUUAAUUAUUUUUGUUUUUUUUAGCAACGUUUCAAAAUACCUUACAAUAGCAAAUGCCUCUCUAGUGUAAACUAAAAAGAUGAAUAAUGGUCUGCAGUAAAUAUAUCCCCUUACAACCUUUUCUUUCAUGUUAAUUUUAAUAUCUUUAAGAUAUGUGACAAGGGUGCUCUAAUGCAGAGGAAUUUACGAAGUUAAGAAGUUAGAAAUAUAUUUUUUGCACUUUUUUUUGUCAUUUUUAGCUGAUUUUGGUUUGUAACCAAGGUGAAAUUUUUUAAAGAAUAAUUUUACAAAAGGCAUAGUUGAAGAACAUCUUGUUGAAAUUGGAUUGGUUGAUUUUUGGUGUUAAACACCACUUAAACAUGAUUUACUAUAAUUUUGGCUGUAAAUUUUUAUUUGUGGAGACAGCCAGAGUGCCUGGUGAAAACAUCACCUUCAUCAGGGAAACGGGCAAACCCUAGUCAAAUUAAGAAUGAAGUUACACAUUUCAUGUGAGGGUUCUCAGUGUUGACAGGCUAGUGAUACAGUAGUUGAACUACUUAUAGGACCACUCUGCCACCAUAAGUCGAUCAGUACGAAAUAUUUUAUUGAAAUAUGUUAGAUUUUUGUUAUCAAUCUAUUUUUUAAUUUUAAUUGUACUAUUUUAUUUAUUUUGUUUAAUAUAACAAGGAUGUGGAGUCGGAACAGGGUGAAAUUUGGGUCAAAGGGAGGCAAUUUAUUAUACCUCUGUUUAACUCCACAUACUUGAAAUUCCCUCAAUGUUAGGAUUUUCAUCUACUUGGAUAUUCAUGUUUGUACAUUUUUUUUUAAUUUCAGAUGUAUACUAGCUAAUAUUGACUAUUAUUUAGAGCUCUGUAAUAAAAAAAAUAAAUGUAAGCAGAGCUCUAGAUAAUAAGUAUGCAGGGUGGGAGAAAUCUUGGGUCAUUAACAAUUGAUUUGCUGAAAUUUUCAAGAAAGGGGAUUUAUUGGAAAUGCAUCUGAUAUAUUUAAUGUAUAAAACUGUAUUUAAAAAAAAAGAUGUUAAGAUGAUGAGGAGAGCCACCUUGUCAGCCGGGAGAGCAGCUCUAAGGGAGAUGGUCAAUUUAAUCUUCACCAAGUCAGAGGCUUUACCAUGAAAAAUAUGUGGUUGUUAUAAUGAUGAUGUUUUCAUGGUGUUGGGAGUAAGACUUGGAUGUCUGAUAUUGUUAACAUGUUGGUUAGCAUCAGGUUUCCAUUGGGUUACUUGCUGGGAUAA